ACCAGGAUGUUUUGACUAGGGAAAUGCUGUCCUCAUUACAGCUGGGAGAUGCUAGGGCAAUUUAAAGCUGAAGCUUCAAAGCCUUGUCCUGCUUCAUAAAACCACGAGGGUUUUCAUGGCUGUUUCAGUAGCUGGUCAGAGCGUGCAGGAUAAAUUUGAGAUAUACAAGUAUGCCAGUGACCAUAAGGAAAACAGGUCUGGUUUAAAGUGCAGCCUCCUAAGAGCCAGGAAGUAACUCCAACAGAAGCUUCUGUUUAUAGCACAACCGAGGGAGAGGAAGGAAGAGAGAGAAACAUUGAUGUGAAGGAGAAGCAUUCAUUGAUUGCAUCCCAUACGUGCCCAG